UUUUUUUUUUCUUUUCUUUUCUUUCUUCUUCUUUUUUUUUUUUUUUUUUUUUUCUGUUUGUGGUCCGGCCUUCUUUUGUGUGUGCGUGUGAUGCAUCUUUAGAUUUUUUUCCCCCACCAGGUGGUUUUUGACACUCUCUGAGAGGACCGGAGUGGAAGAUGGGUGGGUUAGGGGAAGGGAGAAGCAUUAGGAGGGGAUUAAAAUCGAUCAUCGUGGCUCCCAUCCCUUUCCCGGGAACAGGAACACACUACCAGCCAGAGAGAGGAGAAUGACAGUUUGUCAAGACAUAUUUCCUUUUGCUUUCCAGAGAAAUUUCAUUUUAAUUUCUAAGUAAUGAUUUCUGCUGUUAUGAAAGCAAAGAGAAAGGAUGGAGGCAAAAUAAAAAAAAAUCACGUUUCAAGAAAUGUUAAGCUCUUCUUGGAACAAGCCCCACCUUGCUUUCCUUGUGUAGGGCAAACCCGCUGUCCCCCGCGCGCCUGGGUGGUCAGGCUGAGGGAUUUCUACCUCACACUGUGCAUUUGCACAGCAGAUAGAAAGACUUGUUUAUAUUAAACAGCUUAUUUAUGUAUCAAUAUUAGUUGGAAGGACCAGGCGCAGAGCCUCUCUCUGUGACAUGUGACUCUGUCAAUUGAAGACAGGACAUUAAAAGAGAGCGAGAGAGAGAAACAGUUCAGAUUACUGCACAUGUGGAUAAAAACAAAAACAAAAAAAAGGAGUGGUUCAAAAUGCCAUUUUUGCACAGUGUUAGGAAUUACAAAAUCCACAGAAGAUGUUACUUGCACAAAAAGAAAUUAAAUAUUUUUUAAAGGGAGAGGGGCUGGGCAGAUCUUAAAUAAAAUUCAAACUCUACUUCUGUUGUCUAGUAUGUUAUUGAGCUAAUGAUUCAUUGGGAAAAUACCUUUUUAUACUCCUUUAUCAUGGUACUGUAACUGUAUCCAUAUUAUAAAUAUAAUUAUCUUAAGGAUUUUUUAUUUUUUUUUAUGUCCAAGUGCCCACGUGAAUUUGCUGGUGAAAGUUAGCACUUGUGUGUAAAUUCUACUUCCUCUUGUGUGUUUUACCAAGUAUUUAUACUCUGGUGCAACUAACUACUGUGUGAGGAAUUGGUCCAUGUGCAAUAAAUACCAAUGAAGCACAAUCAAGAUUAUGUACUGUGUGUCUGUAAAGGGUCAGUGACAAUGAAAAAGACAGCUUGUUUUGUUCAAAAUAUAGACUGGAUUUCCCAUAGAGCUCUUUUAAUAGGUUUCCAUGACUCAAUAACAUAGCAAAAUGCCUCCAGACCUAAAUAAGGUGUUUACCUACUGAGAGCUACAGAUUUACCCUACAUUUUCACAGCCGGAUUCAAGGUGUUCUAGACUACUUGUAGGCACUUUCAAGAUCCCAUCUGCUGCACUUGACUGAAGAAGUGACCUUUGUGAUUGCGUAGCUCCUAAAAAAAAAAAAAAAAAAAAAAAAGUGACGCGGUCAUUUAACUCAGCUGCAACUUUUCACGGAAAUGCAGGAAAGACUAACUCAUUGAAUGAUCAGUUGCCUACUUGGAAUGCAAUAAGUGGCUUCCACAGCUUAUUUUUGUUUUCCAAUAGAAAAUCACAGCCUGCGGAUGAUCAGUGUGUGCAGAUUUCUCCAGAGGCUGUUUAGAAUGAAAAAUGCUUUCAUGGUUAAGCAAAAAUGUAUAAAAGGGCUUCUGAAGUAAAUUUUUUUCUCUUAUGUAGUUAAAUAGAUCAUUUUGCCAGAAGUUCUGGGUGGACAGAUCAUAGGUAAAAGCAAGUGUGAAAGGAUUUAAGUUUCCAACAAAAUUACAGCACCCAAAGGAUGGGGUAUUUUUCAUAAAGUUAUUUCCUAAAGGAAGGGAUAGUGCAAUUCUGUCCUGAGAUUAAUUUUACAUUCUCCAAAAUACAUUUAAAGUUCUUACUAUAUUUUUAAAUAAGCUUUUUAUUUCAUGACCAUACAGUAAAGAAACCAAAGUAAAGAAUAUUAACUUCUGGCUUAUGCUGCACUUUAAAUGAGCGGAGUAUUCUUUAACAGGGAAAAGUUGAGACUGAAUAUUCUUUUUUGCAAUGGCAUAUUCUAAAGACAAGGCAACCAUCUUCUGAGAAAGGUUAAUGACGUAGAUGUUUUAGAGACCAGCAGAAGGUUGCAUGAACAGUAACAGCCUCAACAAAAGCUGCUAUGAAGUUUAACCCCUUUCCAGCAAAAAAAAAAAAAAAAAAAGGAAAAGGAAAAAGGAGAGCUUCUUUAAGAAUACAAAGAUAAAUACUUAAACAUAUUUUGAAGAACAUAAAAUCAGUCUCAGGAUGAAAUGUCACUAUAAUUUCCCUAGGAACCAAAUAUGGUUAAUAUCCAUCCACCCCCGACCAUGAGUAUGUAAGAUGCAUUUUCUUAGGGGUUUUGUCCUUCUUUGUUUGAAAUUACUAGACACUGAAGUACCAGGUAAAUGCUUCACUUUCUUGGUUUCCUGUUUAUUUACUUAUUUUGUCUAGAUAAGUCUUCACAUUUAAAUAAAAAGAAAUCUUCCCAGCCCAAAACAUAUACGCAGGCCCUUCAAAUCUCAGGUCUUAAAAUCACUCAGGUCUUAAAAUCAUGAAAGUCCUUUAAGCUUUAAGAACAAAUGUGUAUAAUUUAACUACUUAGUACACAGGUUUAGUCACUUUAGUGAGUUAGAGGAAACCACUGUAAUCUUGGGGCCGGUUUCUAUGUAUUGGCAGGAAAUAGAAAAGAUUUUUGUGUGAUCUCCCAAGAUCUCCAACUGAAAAUUACAUGGAUUCAGAAACAGACCAUGUCAGUGAUUCCAAAUCCCCAUGAAGACUACUUUUUGUCGCUUUUGAAGAAGGCAGCCAUUGAUUUAUAAUAGGAAAUGUGGGGAGCUGGGCUGUCAGUCCCAGUAGCGAUGGCAGUGGGAGGAGAGAGCAGCCAGUCCUGCUUAAUCUGGUGAGAUUGUGCACUGCAGAAAUAGGAAGAAGAAGACAUUGAGUGUGCAAAAAGGCAGCCUUACCCAUGGGCUUGUGUGUAUCAAAGUACCAAAAGCAUAAACCUUAAAAUCAAA
rnacentral:lncRNA from 1 species